UCGAUUAGGUUGAGAGAAGAUAUUGAAUACUAGGUAACUAUAUAUAUAUAUAUAUAUCAGAUGAAUACAAAGACGACAGCCAUCAAGCAAUAACAAUCUAUUCCUAAGAACAUUUAGUUCCGACCACUCCUACUUAGUCAACCAUCUCAUGAUUAGCUGACCAUAAAACCCAAAGGCUUAAAUCGUAAAGAAGUGACUCAAGAAAUUGAGCUCAGAGUGAUCUCAGUGGUGUGGAAAGAAAGAGGAGGCACCCAAGCUGUGGUUCCAUUGAAGAGACGACGACGAUGGUGGUGGUUGUGGUUGCCUUCAACUGUUGCCGGCGGAGCUGAAGUCUCCAUGGGGGGUGGUGGAAGGUGGCUUGUAGUACAUGCGCGCGGUCUGAGGGCAGUGGGAAUGGAACCGUGCCGCUAUCCUCACCAACAUCUCCACGUACCUCCCCAUCAUCUCUCUCUCUCUCUCUCUCUCUCUAAAUAUUAGCAGAAGAAAGAUGGAAGAGAGAUGCUUCUUUGGAUGGUUAGUGUAGGAGAAAGACAGAUGGCAUCAACGCUACUGCUCUUAUAGCUGCUUACAAUCAGUAUAACAGCACGUAGAUCACAUCUGUGACUUGUCUUUCUCCAUCACCCAACAGAAGCAAAUGUGGAGGGUGUGCCAAAUAAGGAGAAGAAAGAGAAGACAUUGUGCGUACGUCAUUCCUUGAAACACAGUGCAAGUCGACGGAUUCUUCUUCGCAAUUAAUCAUGGGAGGACUUUGCAGAGAAGCAAAGCAAGAUAAUUUACCAGGAAUUGUUAUUUGAUUCGACGCUUUAUGUUCGAGGAGAAUAAGUCGAAGAAGAAAAUUGAAACAAAUUACUUGUAGAUUCUACGAGUUAGUGUCAUAAGAAGGAUUUAUUUUAAAGUAAAUGCAAACAUCCCAUUAAGAGUUUGAUAUAAUCCUUUAUUAGAUGUGAUAAACAACAUUUUGUUAUUUUUGAUCCUAUACUAUCUAUUUAUAAAAUUAUUAUCUUAUCAUUUUUAAUAUAAAAAUAUAUUGUUUUAUUAUUUUGUAAAUUAGAAUAAUAUAAUUAUUUAAUUUUUAAUUUACGUUUUACUAUUUUAAUCAUACAAAAAUAUUUUUUGGGUUCAAUUAUUUAUACAUAUAUGUGAAAAUUAAUAUUUUCUCCCCUUUGUGUAAUAUGAACAAGUUUUUGACUCAAAUUAUACAUAAAGGAAAUUAAAAUAACAUUAUUAUCAUUUUGUGCAAAACAUGUUUUCAACACCAUCUUGUUGUUUCUUUGACCUCACCAAACGCGUUAGUUGAAAUGAAGUCUCCUUCUCCAUUGGUCAACGUGCUACAUGUGUUGUGCGUUGGCCACCACCACAAAAACCGGACGCCGUCCGCCUUCUUCUUCCUUCCGUCGUCGACGCACUGCCUUUGACCUUUUCUUCCUCCUCCCUCCUUUCACGGAUGAAACGAACUCAACAUGGAACAGACAAUAAUGCAUGUUUCUUUCGUGAUGCUUGCCGUGGGAUUUGAAGUCCAUUUGGCGUGUUCUCUUCUGCAAACUUAGUAUCAGAAUCUGAAGCCUGUGAUGUGAUGCUUGCCGUGAGGACCAAAUUGCAGUUAAAUAUUUUUGAGGUAGCGUGAUUCGAUUUCGUCUCUUCUCUUGCGUUCAUGCGUUGUGUUAAGAUGAUUAUGUUCGAAGGUUAUCUUGUUUUCGUCUCUUAUUUUUGCAAAAGGAAACCUUCUAAUGAAAAAUAUUUUUGCAUUCGUUUGAUUAACAUAUUAACUUUUUUUUUCAAAAAAAAAAGAGCCAAAGACAAGAUAAUCAUAAAUAAAAAAAAAAUAGAUAAACAAAUAUUUCAAUCAAAAUGGUGACAACACCAAUCAACAAGAACAAUAAUGGAUUGAUUGCACAGGAAGGAAGAACAACAAGGAUACUCCUACUACAAGUUUCAGAACCCCAAGGACAAUAAUAAUAAUAAUAAUAAUGAUUCCUUCUGCUACCAAAAUUUACCAUAUUAAAUAUUUCGAAUAAGCAAUGACACAGAGGAAGAUUGGUGGCAUACACCCUUGACAAAAGCCGAGUUGGUGACACCCACCCAAGCUGGUAUACGUCGUCGCGUAGUCAAGUCAGAUGCAUGACAAAAUGCUGCCCGAGUGGAUGCAUGCAUUUGGGAAGAAGAAGGUUUAUAACCCACCAACUCCAUCUUGAAUUACAUUUAUAAGUUGCAUGAGAUUCCGUCAAAUUUGUUUUUAAAUAUAUAAAAUUAUUUUCGUGACUCAAACAAAUAUCAGCAACCUCAAAAUGAUGCCAAAGAAAUGAUUCAAGAAAGAACCCAUGGAGUAGUCUCCCAUUGGCGUUCCUUCAAUAGUUUAUUAUCGAAGGCAUGCUUUCUUGCACGGAGGUGAUCGUUAACACUGGUGUUUAUGCAGUAGAAAAGAGAUUGAGCAAUCCCCUGCUCUGUAAUCUGUUGUCAGGUGACAGAGAUCUCUGUGAAAAAUACUUCAAAUUUCAUGAAAAGGCCUAACAUAUUAUACGUUCUUCAUGCUCUCUCUCUCUCUCUCUAAGAUAUGAGCCUCGUGAUGAUACAAAUUAAUUACGGAGAAAGAUAUUAUACAAGUAUAAAUACAAGAUGAAAUGAAGAGAGAUGGAUAUAGAUUUUGGACUCACGAGAUGAAAAAUUUUGAUGGGAAUGAGUAUUAAUUCUAAAAACAUGCUUAAUUAUGACAAUCCGUAUAUUUAUUAAGUUGUAAAAAUAAAUUACAGAACCUAUGAACACGAUUGAUUCCUUUGCGGUAAGGGAGCCAAACCAAUCGAAUCCAUGUGGCUGAUAUAUUAGCCUCACUGCUCUCGCUCAAACGAUAUAUUAGCCUCUUUAUGAGUGCCAAAAAACAACAAGAGGAAUCAAAACCAAACCACAAGCGUUACUGUUUGGCCUGUGAGCAAUGGGUGACAUCGGCGACGACGAGAACAGGAAGACAUCACAAGAACAGAUGAAGCCUCUCCUUGCAUCCCCUCACUGCUCUCGCUCAAACGAUGGAACGGAGAAUGAUCUCCUUGGCGCGGAGCCUAACGACGCCGACGUCGACAGCGAAGACGAAGAAGAGGAACAAGGAAAAGAAGACGCCCACGUCUUGGAGGCGUCGUCGGCGGGGUUAGCUUCACCGUCGGUGGCGGUGGGAGGCGGCUUGUAGUACAUGCGGGCGGUCUGAGGGCAGUGGGAAUGGAACCGCCACACGAUCCUCACCCCCAUGUCCAGCAACUCCACGUACUUCGCCAUCCUUCCUCCCGCUCCUCCUCCCUGCACAAAUGCCUGCGAGCGUGAAGGAAAGAGAGAUGGAGACGAGUGCGGGAAGGGUUCCUCAGAAGACGUCCCAAAGGAAGGCCAUGAAAGGAGAGAGAAGGAGAUAGAGGCGUAUGAGGAGGAGGCGGAGGGGGAGAGAUAAGAUCCUGGAAUUUAUAGUCUCUCUCUCUUCCUUAGGUCAUGUCUCACGAUG
rnacentral:lncRNA from 1 species